rnacentral:tRNA from 1 species
ACCGAAAUAGCUCAGUUGGGAGAGCGUUAGACUAUAGAUCGAAAGGUACCUGGUUCGAUCCCAGGAUUAGCAG